rnacentral:rRNA from 1 species
AUUGAACGCUGGCGGCAGGCCUAACACAUGCAAGUCGAACGCGUGGCGGACGGGUGAGUAAUGUAUGGGAAACUGCCUGAUGGAGGGGGAUAACUACUGGAAACGGUAGCUAAUACCGCAUACCAUCAGAUGCGCCCAGAUGGGAUUAGCUUGUUGGUGGGGUAACGGCACACCAAGGCGACGAUCCCUAGCUGGUCUGAGAGGAUGACCAGCAACACGAGAACUGAGACACGGUCCAGACUCCUUCGGGAGGGAGCAGUGGGGAAUAUUGAACAAUGGGCGAGAGCAUGAUGCAGCCAUGCCGCGUGUAUGAAGAGGGCCUUCUGGUUGUAAAGUACUUUCAGCGGAGAGGCGUUACCCGCAGAAGAAGCACCGGCUAACUCCGUGCCAGCCGCCGCGGUAAUAC